rnacentral:rRNA from 1 species
GACGAACGCUGGCGGCGUGCUUAACACAUGCAAGUCGAACGGAAAGGCCCUGCUUUUGUUGGGUGCUCGAGUGGCGAACGGGUGAGUAACACGUGAGUAACCUGCCCUUGACUUUGGGAUAACGUCAGGAAACUGGGGCUAAUACCGGAUAGGAGCUCCUGCUGCAUGGUGGGGGUUGGAAAGUUUCGGCGGUUGGGGAUGGACUCGCGGCUUAUCAGCUUGUUGGUGGGGUAGUGGCUUACCAAGGCUUUGACGGGUAGCCGGCCUGAGAGGGUGACCGGCCACAUUGGGACUGAGAUACGGACCAGACUCCUACGGGAGGCAGCAGUGGGGAAUAUUGCACAAUGGGCGGAAGCCUGAUGCAGCAACGCCGCGUGCGGGAUGACGGCCUUCGGGUUGUAAACCGCUUUCGCCUGUGACGAAGCGUGAGUGACGGUAAUGGGUAAAGAAGCACCGGCUAACUACGUG